CCUACGGGGGGUAGCAGUGAGGAAUAUUGGUCAAUGGACGAGAGUCUGAACCAGCCAAGUAGCGUGAAGGAUGACUGCCCUAUGGGUUGUAAACUUCUUUUAUAUGGGAAUAAAACGUUCCACGUGUGGGAUUUUGUAUGUACCAUAUGAAUAAGGAUCGGCUAACUCCGUGCCAGCAGCCGCGGUAAUACGGAGGAUCCGAGCGUUACCCGGAUUUAUUGGGUUUAAAGGGAGCGUAGGUGGAUUGUUAAGUCAGUUGUGAAAGUUUGCGGCUCAACCGUAAAAUUGCAGUUGAAACUGGCAGUCUUGAGUACAGGAGAGGUGGGCGGAAUUCGUGGUGUAGCGGUGAAAUGCUUAGAUAUCACGAAGAACUCCGAUUGCGAAGGCAGUUCACUGGACUGCAACUGACACUGAGGCUCGAAAGUGUGGGUAUCAAACAGGAUUAGAUACCCUAGUAGUC
rnacentral:rRNA from 1 species